CCAGGACUCUGUGUGUUUUUUGUUUGUUUGUUUUGUUUUUGUAUUUCAUUUGAUCCUUUCUCAAUGGUGUUUCUCAAUUUUUAUUUUAUAUUUUGUCUUUUGAGGGAAAGAAAAUGACUGGUUUCAGAGCUGCUCAAGCUCCAGGUACAAAGGACUGUUUACUUGUGGUUUUGAGCAAUUACAGAAAGGGAAAUGCCUGCCCAACCACUAUGGAAGCACCUAAACCCAUCUAUAUAUCAUGCUACUUCACCUUCUGGAAAUCACUGGCUGCUCUAAUUGCAAUACUGGAGUUCAAAUCAACAGAUGAGUUGUGAAAGAGAACAACAAAGGGUAAGUGCAAUGAUUUCCAAAAUGUUCUUUUAAUUUAAAACAUUAAGCAGAAUCUAGUUUCUGUUAUAGACCGUGAGAUAGACUGCUUCUUUAUUAUUAUAAUUUAAGAGAUGAACAUAGUUAAUCAGCUUAUUUCUUGCCUGUUGGUGAAUAUUGUAAAUAUCUCAAUAUAAAAGAGUUGCAAUAGAUACAGGGUGUUCUUCAAUAGUUUAAUUAGAUUUGAUAGUAAAUAGAUCUAAAGGUCACCAUAUUCCUCAGACUUCCUCCACUACAAGACUGUUUCAAACAAGUAGACUCUGUCCUUUGGUUCGUUUAAGUACUCAUGCUUUCAGAUAGAAAUUAAUUCUAAGAAUAUGAGGGAACUGCAGUAUCUUAGUGUAUGUAUUGGUUGCAUAUAAGCUGUAAACCAGAUGGAGUUCCUGAAUCCAGUUUGUGGAUCUUUACUUUGUUUUCCCCCUUUCCUAAAUCGCAGUGACUAAGGAGUCUUCAGACCCUGCUCCAUUUAAAUUCCAAAUAUGCUAUGUAUCUCUGCAGAUGAGUUUACUUGUGCAACUG
rnacentral:lncRNA from 1 species